rnacentral:rRNA from 1 species
UACAGAGGGGGGCAAGCGUUAUUCGGAAUUAUUGGGCGUAAAGGGUGCGUAGGCGGUCUGGCAAGUCUUGUGUGAAAUCUUCGGGCUCAACCCGAAGUCUGCACAAGAAACUGCCGGGCUUGAGUAUGGGAGAGGUGAGUGGAAUUUCCGGUGUAGCGGUGAAAUGCGUAGAUAUCGGAAGGAACACCUGUGGCGAAAGCGGCUCACUGGACCAUUACUGACGCUGAUGCACGAAAGCUAGGGGGAGCAAACAGG